AAGCUACUCCCUCCGUUUCGAAUUACUUGUCGCAGGUAUGGAUGUAUCUAGAUGUAUUUUAGUUCUAGAUAUAUCCAUUUCUGCGAUGAGUAAUUUAAAACGGAGAGAGUACUAU
rfam:Triticum urartu cultivar G1812 contig1062772, whole genome shotgun sequence.